rnacentral:rRNA from 1 species
UUAUGGCUCAGGACGAACGCUGGCGGCGUGCCUAACACAUGCAAGUCGAACGGAGUUAUGUCACGAAGUCUUCGGAGCGGACGACAUAGCUUAGUGGCGGACGGGUGAGUAACGCGUGAGCAACCUGCCUUUCAGAGGGGGACAACGGUUGGAAACGACCGCUAAUACCGCAUGAAAUGACUGGACCGCAUGAUCCGGUCAUCAAAGAUUUUAUCGCUGAAAGAUGGGCUCGCGUCUGAUUAGAUAGUUGGUGGGUAACGGCCCACCAAGUCGACGAUCAGUAGCCGGACUGAGAGGUUGAACGGCCACAUUGGGACUGAGAUACGGCCCAGACUCCUACGGGAGGCAGCAGUGGGGAAUAUUGGGCAAUGGGGGGCAACCCUGACCCAGCAACGCCGCGUGAAGGAAGAAGGCUUUCGGGUUGUAAACUUCUUUUACCGAGGACGAAGAACGUGACGGUACUCGGAGAAAAAGCCACGGCUAACUACGUGCCAGCCGCUGC